rnacentral:misc_RNA from 1 species
GAUGAAGAACGCAGCGAAAUGCGAUAAGUAGUGUGAAUUGCAGAAUUCAGUGAAUCAUCGAAUCUUUGAACGCACAUUGCGCCCUUUGGUAUUCCAAAGGGCAUGCCUGUUCGAGCGUCAUUUGUACCCUCAAGCUUUGCUUGGUGUUGGGCGUCUUGUCUCUAGCUUUGCUGGAGACUCGCCUUAAAGUAAUUGGCAGCCGGCCUACUGGUUUCGGAGCGCAGCACAAGUCGCACUCUCUAUCAGCAAAGGUCUAGCAUCCAUUAAGCCUUUUUUUCAACUUUUGACCUCGGAUCAGGUAGGGAUACCCGCUGAACUUAAGCAUAUCAAUGAGCGGAGGA